UACAACUCUGAGCGGUGGAUCACUCGGCUCGUGUGUCGAUGAAGAGUGCAGCCAACUGUGUGAAUUAAUGU
rnacentral:rRNA from 1 species